UACGUAGGGUGCAAGCGUUUGUCCGGAAUUAUUGGGCGUAAAGAGCUCGUAGGCGGUCUGUCGCGUCUGCUGUGAAAACUCAGGGCUUAACCCUGAGCUUGCAGUGGGUACGGGCAGACUAGAGUGCGGUAGGGGAGACUGGAAUUCCUGGUGUAGCGGUGAAAUGCGUAGAUAUCUGGAGGAACACCGGUGGCGAAGGCGGCAUCCUGGACCGACACUGACACUGAGGAGCGAAAGCGUGGGGAGCAAACAGG
rnacentral:rRNA from 1 species